rnacentral:misc_RNA from 1 species
UUUCCGUAGGUGAACCUGCGGAAGGAUCAUUAUUGUAUAAUCGAGGUGCGAGGGCUGUCGCUGACCCGACUGGUCGUGCGCGCACGAGUGCCCUCACACCUAUCCAUCUCACCCCUAUGUGCACCACCGCGUGGGUCCCCCUUUGGCGUGUUCGGAGGGGGGCUUACGUUAUCACACAAACUUUGUAUGCAGUGUAGAAUGUGUUUUUUGUUUUUGCGAUCACGCAAUCAAUACAACUUUCAACAACGGAUCUCUUGGCUCUC